UGUGUACGUAUUUGUUUGUUGGAAAAAAUAUUGGGGGUUUGAGCUUCCAACCCUAAUCUCAUCUGUUCACUCACUUCACCGAGACUGAGAUAGAAAGUCUCCGGAGACAAACAAAGUUCUGCACCGGUGCCACCGCCUCCGCCUGCCUGCUUCCCGUCUGUUUCCGCCGUCUCCCGUCGCGUUUGGAAUUGUUUCAUUUGAAUAGUAUACAGCUUUUGAAAUAAAUGUUGAAAUUGGAUUUAAUUAGUGAUGCGGUGGAUGUUGUUAUCUAAGCUGCCAAAUGAACUGAUUUAGCCGUUUGAAAACCUCAAAGUUGGCUUACAUUUUUUGUAUUUUUAUGUAAAAUUAGGAUACUCUCUACUUAUUUGUCAAUUGUCAAUGAUGAAGACGGUAUGGAGAAUUCAUGAUGUUUUACAGAAGGAAGCAAUUCUCCAAAAGUUUUCAUCAUGUUAUACAAUCGGACGAGGUUCAGCUAAUACGUUGUGGAUCAGAGGAUUAGCAAGCAAGGCAUCAUCUUCUUCCAAACCCGCCGCCUGGCCACAUGUAUUUACUUUAUUUGCAGACAGGUGGAGUACUGCCGAUUCGUUGGUCAACCAAGAUAUGAGAGAAAAAGUUUCACAGUUAAAGGAUGAAUUGUUAGCAUACAGUGGUGAUGCUGAAAUGUUUGAGAAAAUAUUAGCAGAUAAAGGGGUUUCGUUGUUUAGUAGGUAUGCAGAUGGUUCUGCAGUUGUUGAGCUCUUACAGCAGCUAAAAUCUUCGCCCGGGUUAGCGCUCCAGGCUUUCGACUGGAGAAGAAGACAAUUGGAUUGCUGGAGUCCCAUGACAGUUGAGGAGUAUUCCAAGGCCAUUGUUAUGGCUGGAAGGUUAAAGAAUGUUGAUCUUGCAGCCAAACUAUUCAAGGAGGCUUCUAACAAGCGACUCAAGUCGACCUCUUUAUAUAAUGCCCUUAUGACUGCAUAUAUGAUCAAUGGCUUGGCUGUUAAGUGUCAAUCAGUUUUUCGGGACUUGAAGAGGGAAGCAACAUGUACUCCAACUAUUGUAACAUACAACAUACUGAUCUCUGUGUUUGGAAGAUUAAUGCUGAUAGAUCACAUGGCGGCAACUUUACGAGAAAUAAAUGAUUUGGGUAUCUGCCCAAAUGUUGGUACGUACAACUAUUUAAUUGCUGGGUAUAUCACAGCGUGGAUGUGGGAUGAUGUGGAGAAGACAUAUAGAGUCAUGAAGGCAGGAAGUAUCAAACCUGAUCUCACUACCCAUUUAUUGAUGCUUCGAGGAUAUGCACAUUCUGGUAAGUUGGAAAAUAUGGAAGAAAUCUAUGAGCUUGUCAAAGGUCAUGUUGAUCGAUAUGGAAUCCCAUUAAUUCGAUCUAUGAUAUGUGCUUAUAGUAAAAGUUCUGAUGUAAAUAAAGUUCAAAAGAUUGAGGAAUUGAUGAGGUUGAUUCCUAAAGAUGAUUAUAGGCCUUGGUUGAAUGUCAUAUUGAUAUGUUUGUAUGCAAAGGAGGAUCUGUUAGACCAGAUGGAAAAUUCAAUAAAUGAGGCCUUUAGCUGUAACACAUCCGUCACAACUGUUGGUGUCAUGCAUUGCAUCAUUUCAAGUUACUUCCGAAACAAUGCAGUGGACAAACUUGCUAAUUUUGUUAGCCGUGCAGAAUGUGCUGGUUGGAAAAUAUGCAGGUCCCUUUACCACUGCAAGAUGGUUAUGUAUUCAUCACAAAAGCGACUCAUUGAAAUGGAGAAAGUUCUUAGCGAGAUGGAUAAAGUGAAUUUGGACUUCUCAAAGAAAACACUUUGGAUAUUACUUAAAGCCUACAAAACUUGGGGGGAAAAGGAUAAACUUCAUCAGGUCUUGGGUAUUAUGUGCAGGCAUGGAUAUGGAAUUCCUAUAAAUGGAUGAAGUUGGUAGUUCGUAGUUCGAUUUCCUUCCAUCAUAGUUCUAUGAGGGUUAACCCCAUUGUAGUAUUGUUGGAAUUUGGGAUUUUGAUGAAGCAGCAGAUGACACUCCAUUUUGUUCUUCUCCUUUGCUUGUUCCCUCUUGUUUCUGAUAUUACAGGCUAAAAUCUCAAGUGAUGAAAGCAUUUCUAUGAUAUAGAAGAGUUAAUUCAAGCACGUGCGAACAACACGUCUGCUUAUUGCCAAUAUAAUUCAAAUUGAGGCCUUUUUGGUUCAUCGCCAUCCAGCUUGUCUGGGUCUUAGCAUCAUCUAUCCACUACUAACUCUGUUUAUUCCGUCUCUACACUCGCUUGGAGAUUUAUGUUGUUCCACUGCCUCUGAUCGGUGAGUUUCACUGAUAUUCUAUCACAUCUUUUUCCUGUGAGUU